rnacentral:lncRNA from 1 species
CCAGACCAACCCCUUACCUCCCGGAGAAGAAGAGAUACCAGCAUUCUUGCUUCUCUUCCAGAGACCCUCCUUGGAGGAAGCAUAUCUCUGAAAGCGAAGUUUGCAUCAACACUAAAUAACCCCUCUAAACAUCUGAGGCUGAAUGGGGUAAGAAGAGGAAUACAUUCCAUUCUUAUUAAAAAACAUCAAGUGAUUGUUUUCUGUAUCAAAUGCGGAAUUCCGGUUUUAUCAAACACGUCUCGGAGAAACACCCCAGCCUCCAAAGCAGACAGCAGUUGUAAACAUCUCCUCUUCCUGCUGAGAAGCUGCGGAAUUCCAGAGCCCUGACCUGCGAAAUACCAGUUCUCUGCUCCCUCCCCAUGGAACGGAAGCUAAGCCCUGAGGGAGGGCAUUUGUGUGUUUAGACCCUCUGCGUGAUGCCUAGUGCUGGACCAGGAGGGAGCUCAACCCACAAACCGCUAGCAAAGGGGAUGGAAAAAGACAGGACCCAGCAGAGGGGAACACAAUUGCUCACUAGCCCAGAAUCUGGAACUUGGAAGCCAAAUUAUGGUUAGCCACAUGGCUUUAUUAUUGACCUUCUUUGGCACGUAGUGCUUUAUGGGUACACUGUAUCUUCGCUUUUUCUGACCAGUCUCCAACUUCCCACCAACACUGCUUAUACCAAAAGAUGGCAAAUGGCACGUAUCCUGGCAUUUUUCUAUGGCUUAAGGCACAGUCAAGACUCUUGAUGAUGUAAAAGAAAAACAGAUGACUGCGUCUAUUUCCUGCCUGAUUACUACUACUUUAAAGGAAUGCCGAGGUUUUGUUUGUAAAAAUACACUGAUGAUUAUGUAACCAGUGAGACCUACAUUUAUUUCUACCUUAUUUUGUUUAGGGCAGGCUCAAUUAAACUUCACGGCCCUCAUAUAAUCUUCUUUAAUCUUUGUGGUUUAUUGGACAAUCUGGUGAACUUGUAUCACAUCCUGAGGUUGGGUGUGCAUUUCAAGGCAUCAGGGAAUGAUGAGUUCAGUUGUGAGGUGAAGGAGGCCAUAUGGGAUAGGUUUUCCAUCUUAAAUUAGCAUACAUCAGAGGCCUGGUGGGGGGGGGGGGGGAGUCCAUGGCAUCAGGUGACCAGAAUGAGGGGCCAUAGCAGUCUGUGACUCACGUGACAGCUGGGGAGGAAAUGGAACACUUUUCCCAAAUCCAACUGAGAUUGUUAAUGCCCAGACUGGGAAAGAGUGGUGCCACCUUUCUGUAGCAACAAGCCGGGCAAACCAGGGGUUUCUGGAGAAGCUUCUGUUUGCAUGGCUAAAUAAUAAAAGGUGGUCUUGAUAGGUCUACUCUUAAAUUGUGCGAUGGACCAUUAUCAGAGCUCUGCUAGCUGAUCAGACAUUUGACCCACUAAAAUGUAGUCUUGGGGUUUAUUUUGAUCAGGUCCGUGGGCAUAGGGGUGUGGGACAAAAGAAUUUGUCAGUCAAUUCUUCUGCAAUAUGCAUUCAUUUCUCCUCUUAACAUCAGCAGAAGCUAUUAUUAGGGAUUGAAUGUGCUUCACCCCCAUGUUGAAGCCCUAUUUCCCAAUGUGAUGGUAUUUGGAUGUAGGGCCUUUAGGAGGUCACCCGAUUUAGGUGGGGUCAUGAGGGUGGGGCCCCCGAGAUGGGAUUAGUGCCCUUGUGAGAGGAAGAGCCCAGAGCUUGCCCUCUACCAUAUGAGGACACAGUGAGAAGGCAAUCACCCAUAAGCCAGAAAGAGAGCUCUC